CCUACGGGUGGCAGCAGUGGGGAAUAUUGGACAAUGGGGGGAACCCUGAUCCAGCCACGCCGCGUGUGUGAAGAAGGCCCUCGGGUUGUAAAGCACUUUCAGUGAGGAAGAACGCCUGGUGGUUAAUACCCAUCAGGAAAGACAUCACUCACAGAAGAAGCACCGGCAACUCCGUGCCAGCAGCCGCGGUAAUACGGAGGGUGCGAGCGUUAAUCGGAAUUACUGGGCGUAAAGCGCGCGUAGGUGGCUUGAUAAGCCGGUUGUGAAAGCCCCGGGCUCAAACUGGGAACGGCAUCCGGAACUGUCAAGCUUGAGUGCAGGAGAGGAAGGUGGAAUUCCUGGUGUAGCGGUGAAAUGCGUAGAGAUCGGGAGGAAUACCAGUGGCGAAGGCGGCCUUCUGGACUGACACUGACACUGAGGUGCGAAAGCGUGGGUAGCAAACAGGAUUAGAUACCCUUGUAGUC
rnacentral:rRNA from 1 species